rnacentral:rRNA from 1 species
GAUGAACGCUGGCGGCGUGCCUAAUACAUGCAAGUCGAGCGAACAGACGAGGAGCUUGCUCCUCUGACGUUAGCGGCGGACGGGUGAGUAACACGUGGAUAACCUACCUAUAAGACUGGGAUAACUUCGGGAAACCGGAGCUAAUACCGGAUAAUAUAUUGAACCGCAUGGUUCAAUAGUGAAAGACGGUUUUGCUGUCACUUAUAGAUUGAUCCGCGCCGCAUUAGCUAGUUGGUAGGGUAACGGCUUACCAAGGCAACGAUGCGUAGCCGACCUGAGAGGGUGAUCGGCCACACUGGAACUGAGACACGGUCCAGACUCCUACGGGAGGCAGCAGUAGGGAAUCUUCCGCAAUGGGCGAAAGCCUGACGGAGCAACGCCGCGUGAGUGAUGAAGGUCUUCGGAUCGUAAAACUCUGUUAUUCGGGAAGAAAAAAUGUGUAAGUAACUAUGCACGUCUUGACGGUACCUAAUCAGAAAGCCACGGCUAACUACGUG